rnacentral:rRNA from 1 species
GUAGGUGGCAAGCGUUGUCCGGGAAUUAUUGGGGCGUAAAGCGCGCGCAGGCGGUCCUUUAAGGUCUGAUGUGAAAGCCCACGGGCUCAACCGUGGAGGGUCAUUGGAAACUGGGGGACUUGAGUACAGAAGAGGAAAGCGGAAUUCCAAGUGUAGCGGUGAAAUGCGUAGAGAUUUGGAGGAACACCAGUGGCGAAGGCGGCUUUCUGGUCUGUAGCUGACGCUGAGGCGCGAAAGCGUGGGGAGCAAACAGGAUUAGAUACCCUGGUAGUCCACGCCGUAAACGAUGAGUGCUAAGUGUUAGGGGGUUUCCGCCCCUUAGUGCUGCAGCUAACGCAUUAAGCACUCCGCCUGGGGAGUACGGCCGCAAAGGCUGA